rnacentral:rRNA from 1 species
UACGGAGGGAGCUAGCGUUGUUCGGAAUUACUGGGCGUAAAGCGCACGUAGGCGGCUAUUCAAGUCGGGGGUGAAAGCCCGGGGCUCAACCCCGGAACUGCCCUCGAAACUAGGUAGCUAGAAUCUUGGAGAGGUCAGUGGAAUUCCGGAGUGUAGAGGUGAAAUUCGUAGAUAUUCGGAAGAACACCAGUGGCGAAGGCGACUGACUGGACGAAGUAUUGAC